CCUACGGGUGGCAGCAGUGAGGAAUAUUGGUCAAUGGGCUUACGCCUGAACCAGCCAAGUCGCGUGAGGGAAGACUGCCCUAUGGGUUGUAAACCUCUUUUGUCAGGGGGCAACGCCGGCUACGUGUAGCCGGACUGAGAGUACCUGAAGAAAAAGCAUCGGCUAACUCCGUGCCAGCAGCCGCGGUAAUACGGGGGAUGCGAGCGUUAUCCGGAUUUAUUGGGUUUAAGGGGUGCGUAGGCGGAAUGCCAAGUCAGCGGGAAAAUCGCGGGGCUCAACCUCGCUCUGCCGUUGAAACUGGCGGUCUUGAGUGGGCGAGAGGUAGGCGGAAUGCGUGGUGUAGCGGUGAAAUGCAUAGAGAUCACGCAGAACUCCGAUUGCGAAGGCAGCAUACCGGGGUCCAUCUGACGCUGAAGCACGAAAGCGUGGGUAUCGAACAGGAUUAGAUACCCCGGUAGUC
rnacentral:rRNA from 1 species